ensembl:lncRNA
AAAACAGUUCCUGAUUAAGGACAGAAACACUCUCCUUGUGGGUGAUGGAUAUCACUCAGAGUCAUUCUGUAUGUGUUGCACACACUCUUCAGAUUUAGGGGGUGAGGACAUUUUGCGAACUCACCUUUAAAGCUGUGAGUUUGAGUCUUGUGGUAGGACAUUGGUGGACUGUGGUUCAGGGACAGACAGACAGACAGUCAGACAAUAGGACAAGGCAGUGACAGCCAUUCUGAGCUCUAACCACAAACAGACAAAAGUGUUUUCCCUGAGAAAAUGACAAUAACAAAUAUGUGAAAUGUUUUGAUAAAUGAUAAAGGGGGCCAACAAAUCGCAGAUAGGUCCCAAUGAGGACUUGAGGAGGAAUCUAUUGAUUUGUAUUUGUGCCCCCCUCCCUCUUCAUGUUUGUAUCCAUAACAGCAGUCUCAAGCUCAUAUAUUGAAAUAAAACUUGAUCAAAAACCAUUUGUGAAGUGUCACCUGACUUACUUCCUUACCUGAUAGUGCCUCAAGAUUUGUAUCAAUACAUGUAAUUCAACUCCACAGUCUAUAUAGUCAGGUGUGUACAGUGGCUUGCGAAAGUAUUCACCCCCUUGGCAUUUUUCCUAUAUUCUUGCCUUACAACCUGGAAUUAAAAUAGAUUUUGGGGGGGUUUCUAUCAUUUGAUUUACACAACAUGCCUACCACUUUGAAGAUGCAAAAUAUUUUUUGUGAACAAACAAAGAAAUAACACAAAAAAACCAGAACAUUUGAGUGUGCAUAACUAUUCACCCCCCCCAAAGUCAAUACUUUGAAGAGCCACCUUUUGCAGCAAUUACAGCUGCAAGUCUCUUGGGGUAUGUCUCUAUAAGCUUGGCACAUCUAGCCACUGGGAUUUUUGCCCAUUCUUCAAGGCAAAACUGCUCCAGCUCCUUCAGGUUGGAUGGGUUCUGCUGGUGUACAGCAAUCUUUAAGUCAUACCACAGAUUCUCAAUUGGAUUGAGGUCUGGGCUUUGACUAGGCCAUUCCAAGAUAUUUAAAUGUUUUCCCCUUUAACCACUCAAGUGUUGCUUUAGCAAUAUAAUUAGGGUCAUUGUCCUGCUGGAAGGUGAAUCUCCAUCACGGUCUAAAAUCUUGGGAAGAUUGAAACAGGUUUCCCUCAAGAAUUUCCCUGUAUUUAGCGCCAUCCAUGAUUCCUUCAAUUCCUACCCGUUUCCCAGUCCCUGCUGAUGAAAAACAUCCCCACAGCAUGAUGCUGCCAUCACCAUGCUUCACUGCGGGGAUGGUAUUCUCGGGGUGAUGAGGUGUUGGAUUUGCACCAGACAUAGCGUUUUCCUUGAUGUCAAAAAGCAAAAUGUUAGUCUAAUCUGACCAGAGUACCUUCUUCCAUAUGUUGGGGAGUCUCCCACAUGCCUUUUGGCGAACACCAAACGUGUUUGCUUCUUUUUUUUCUUUAAGAAAUUGCUUUAUUUCUGGCCACUCUCCCGUAAAGCCCAGCUCUGUGGAGUGUACGGCUUAAAGAUACUCCAAUCUCUGCUGUGGAGCUUUGCAGCUCCUUCAGGGUUAUCUUUGAUCUCUUUGUUGCCUCUCUGAUUAAUGCCCUCCUUGCCUGGUCCAUGAGAUUUGGUGGGCGGUCCUCUCUUGGCAGGUUUGUUGUGGUGCCAUAUUCUUUCCAUUUUUAAUAAUGGAUUUAAUGGUGCUCCGUGGGAUGUUCAAAGUUUCAAUUUUUUUAUAACCCAACCCUGAUAUGGACUUCUCCACAACUUUGACUCUGCCCUGUUUGGAGAGCUCCUUGGUCUUCAUGGUGCCACUUGCUUGGUGGUUCCCCUUGCUUAGUGGUGUUGCAGACUCUGGGGCCUUUCGGAACAUGUGUAUAUAUACUGAGAUCAUUUGACACUUAGAUUGCACACAGGUGGACUUUAUUGAACUAAUUAUGUGACUUCGGAAGGUAAUUGGUUGCUCCAGAUCUUAUUUAGGAGCUUCAUAGCAAAGCGGGUGAAUACAUAUGCACGCACCACUUUUCAAUUUUUUUGAUUAAAAUUUUUUUUUUUUUUUUUUUCAUUUCACUACACCAAUUCGGGACUAUUUUGAAAUCCAAAUAAAAAUCUAUUUAAAUUACAGGUUGCAACGCAACAUAAUAGGAAAAAUGCCAAGGGGGAUGAAUACUUUUGCAAGGCACUGUACAUACACUGUUAUUAUACACCUUUAAUCACUCUAUAUCGGUUUCAGCCUUACAUCAAUUUAUGUAUCUCCUUUUUCAUAUCCUCUGAAGACAGUGCUUCUGCUUGAUGUUAUGUCAAUGCUCAUUUUGUUUCAGAUUUUAACAUACAGUAUAAUCAUUAUCUGAUAAUGGUAAAUCAUAUUUUCUUUGUAUGGUGAUGAUUCAAAUGGAUCAGCAAAAAAUGAAUAAUUGUAUAAUUUCUUCCAUGAACAUCUCUGACUUUUGGGGAUGGGAAUGGAAGUGUACCACAGAAUAACAAUACACACACUAUAGGCCAUUAUAUUCAACUUUGUGCAUUUUAAUUUUGUUGCAUCUUCUGGCAUACAUUAUUUUGCAAAUAUAACUCAAAAGGUUUAAUCCCACACAAAUUAAACUUUAAACAAUAUUCCAUUUAAAAUAAAAACAAUGAGUGAAAUGGUUCAAAACAGUUUAUUUUAUUUUUUUUCCAGACAAACACAUCGAUUUCUGGACCACAGUAGAGGAUGGAAACCUUUUCACAAACAUUUUUAUUAUUAUCAUUAUUUGAAAAUACAAAUAUAAAAUUACUUUCCACAUCUGAGAUGUGAGAGACCCCCAUCCACUUCAGUUUAUUUUACAACAGGGCUUGAGCAAGCCAUACAAGAAGACCUGAAAGAUGCUUUCAGACGUCAGUCCUAUCAGUCAGCUCUCGCGGUAAAAAGUCUGUUAACAUUAAAACAUGGGCAAGUGUUAGGAAUGGGCAAGGCAAUCAGAGGUCGAACCCAAGACGGAGCAUGAGAGAAGAAACGCCUCUGCUAAGGCAAGGUCAAAUGUACUGUAGGAAGAAUAUUCACAAAGACCCACAGGACUUCUAAUGACUGUACCACUUCCCGAAAGCCCCUGUACCCACUCACUCACUCACUCACUCACUCACUCACUCACUCACUCACUCACUCACUCACUCACUCACUCACUCACUCACUCACUCACUCACUCACUCACUCACUCACUCACUGCUCUAGCAGUGGCCCAUGCCAUGGUACUCACUAAACAACAAUUUCCCAUUUUAAAUAAUUGUAUGUUUUACCCUAAAGUAUCAGUUACAGCUUCUUCAUUUCAUGUUUUCCAGUCCAGCCAUGUUGUAUCAUUGGUAAACAUAAUGUUAAGUGUGACACAAACAUAAUACAAACAGUGCUGCCUACGUAAACAUUUCAGACAGCAAGGAGUUCAUUUCAUCUGAAAUGAGGGUUCAGCCUCAACAAAUAGACAUGCGCAAUAAUAUAUCUUUAACUAACAUGUAUAUACAUUAUGUACCUGUUAUUACAGUAGGUAUGUGUGCGUUGUGUGUCUGUUAAUUCAGUGAUGGGAUAAUUGUCUGGCCAUUGCCUAGCACUUGCCUCAAGAUUCAAGUUUAAAUGGUUAGGGUACGACCCAAUAUAUCAUCCAACACCUUCCAGGUCUUUUUAUUUAAUUUUUUUUCUCUUUUUUUAUUUUUUUUAACCAAUUAUCCAAUGAUUAAGUAGUCUAGCAAGAUGUGUAACAUUCAUCAGCUGUAAACUGCUGUCCAUGUGGGAAAAAAGUACAGCAACUACAGAGCCAUGCUACCUUAAAGUCCAAGCUAUUAAAUCACUUUUAAAAAAAAUUUUUUAAAUCAACUAAUAGAGAUGGUAUGAAAUAUUUUGAAUGGAUAGCCAGCCAACUUUUACUCUAAUCAAAUAGUAAAUCAGGUAUGGUAAUGUAUAACAGAGCCUUACUUAGUACAAACAUCACAUGCUCUCAGUGGGUACAUACUGCUGCCAUAAUGUCCCGUUUACCAACAGGUUCCGACAUGUGCCACAUUUUGGCUCAGUCUUCAUGAGAAUGAUGCAUACAUCCUAUCCUACCUCAACUCUGUGGUUCUGUGAUUUGCUUAAAAUGAAACAUGUCCUUUAGGUAUCAUUUCAAUAAGCCCUUCAUAUAACAACUCAUCAAUAGCUUUGCACUGUCUUGUUUUCCUUUAGCAGGAGGGUCUUAAAGAUUAAGUUAUUGCACAGUGCAAAUGUCUAUAAAAACAAGCAGGCUAUACCAUCUUUGAAUGAGAAGACUUUAAAUAAAGACUAAGCACUUGAAUGAAUCUACAAUGUAAAUGUUUCAUGAUACACUGGCUUUGAUUAAAGUCAAACGCUGCUUCCAAUGGUGCAAGAGUACAAAAAUAAUUCACUACAUUCUCAAAUGUUGAUAAUGAACUCAAACUAUAAUAUGAAUGAAUAAUAUUAAUAAUUCAUUAAGUAGACACCUAAAAUUAAAUACAACUGUAUCCAAAAAUAGUAGUGCCAGGGGCCACUGGGAUAUUGUUUAAUAGUACAAACAUCAAAACGAGUUUAAAAUAAUUAUCUAUAUUAGCCAUUAUUAUCAUUAGUCCGUUAUAACUUUCUAAAAAAUAUAUGAUUUCUCCAUUAAUGUAAUAAAAUCCAUUAUACUCAAUCAUAAUUAUAGCUUGUGUCCCUCUUGUGAAAUUAUAACAGAAUUGGUUUGUAUAUCUAGCAUUAGCUUUUAAGGUAGUAUGGCACACCCCUUUUUAAACAUUCAAGUGUGGGGAUCAAUGCCUUGUUUACGAUUCGGUCUUACAGAAAUUUCUGAUUUAAAUGUCCUCAAUGAUUGCUUUGGUUAGUUGAAACCAUGUGAGAACAGUAAAACUGAAAAUAGACAAAUGGUAUUGAAAUGAAUGUCAGCUUUUUUAUUUUAUAUAUAUAUAUAUAUAUAUAUAUAUAUAUAUAUAACUAUGGUAAUUAAGAAGAGAAAGCUCUAUCCUUACAUCUCCUAAUAGCUACAUCUACAUCUUAACUACAUAACAACUACCACUAAUACUAGGAGAGAGUGAGACAGAGAAGGAUUGGGAGACAAAGAGGAAGAUAGAGAGAUCAACAAAUAAGUGUAUAGCCACUACACUGGCAUCAAAGACGGCACUCUGUUACAAGGUCAUUUGCAGUUUUCUUUUUUUCCACACAUUACUGAAAUACAUUGAUGAUCAACAUAAGAUUACUGUAUAAGGUGACAGGGAAUGGAGAAAGAAUCGGAUGGAUGUACAGUACAUUCUAAUAUUGUUAGUAUAAUAAUUAUUAUUAAUAUAAUCAUUAACAACCACAAAAAUAUUGAUACAAAUCCUUCUGAAUAAAAAUGUAAAUCAUUCAAGGGAACAUACUUUUUUCUCUUUUUUGAAUUCGUAACAUACAUGUUUAUUUUAAUUUGAUUAUUACUUAAACAAGUCCCCAUUUUAUUUGACAAGAAUCCAGGAUUCUGCUUCAGAGGAACCAUUUCUCAAUCUCAACAAACCAGUCCCUACAGGAAAUGAACAUUUCUCAAUCUCAACAAACCAGUCCCUACAGGAAAUGAACAUUUCUCAAUCUCAACAAACCAGUCCCUACAGGAAAUGAACAUUUCUCAAUCUCAACAACCCAGUCCCUACAGGAAAUGAACGUGGUGACUACAGUUACUUGGCUAGGCCGAAAUGCUCCAAUCUAUGGAUUAUACAUGGAUUGUAUUUAUUUAUUUUUUGUUAAAUAAAUGCCCUUUGGGCAAAACAACUUUUUCCAAUUGCAAGAGUCAAGAUGACUAAUCUCUAAUGGGAAUAAAAAAUUAUUCUUAAAAAACAUUCCUUCAUAUAUCAUCUGCUCAAGACCAUUUUAAAUAUCCAACACUUAAAAUGUGCACAUAGAAUAUGGUCACUUUCCUUCUUUGUCACAGUGCAACAACUUUUCUCAUAAUCCAUUCAUAAUUUCAACCGGUUUAAAUUUAAAAUAAAUGAAUUUGUCAUCUCAUCUAAGAUAAAACUCACAGGACUGAGGUAAUGAUAGAUGUUUUGCCUUCCUAAUCAGUUCAAGAAAACAUCACAAUAAAUGUAUGUAAAAUAUAUCUGACUUGAAAUAUUUCCUGUCACAUUGAAAGCAGGUGCUCUGUUCAAAAUGGAUAAACAGCAUUAAUAAGGAAAACAAAAACUGAAGAUAAUCAUAACAAAAUGAAACACGUGCAGAUUGGUAUGAAAUGUAUCUGGACACUAGUAUUCAACAUCUGGUAUUUUCAAACUAAUACAAAGUAAAAGUGUGCUUUGGAUUUGUAUCAUGUUCUUUUUUUAUAUAGUAUAUUGACUUCAGUCACAGAUACAGUAGCCUUUCACUUGCGAGAGUCUAGAAGAAGUUGAGCCGGUGUCCUCUUUGAGAGACAUUGUGUAGCAAUGUCCAGUGUUAACCUUGUGUCAUCUUUUAGAAGCUGUGCACUUUUGAGCUCACUAUGUAGAAGACAGAACAGUAUGCUGGUAUGACAUUAGCACAGUAAGAAAGACAACAGUAUUUACAGAGCAAGCCAACAGUGUUCUUGUAGGAUCGAGUGGGGUUAUCAUGGCAUUUUGUGCUACAAAUGGAUUAUGAUACGACUUAAGAGCAUUAAAUGUCCUCGUCUUUGACAGUUGCGCUCUUGCACAUUACAGCCUUUUAUGAUGAACCAUCACAAAAAUAUGGUUCUCUCUGAAACGAUUAUAUGCAGUGAUUUUAAUAAUAUUUACAGUUAUAUUUUUCUUAAAAUCUGAAUUCACAAAGUAUUAAAAGGAAAGGUUAUUUUUUCCUGACAACAAAAACAUUUGUAAAAAAGGACUGUGAAAAUAUUGUAGUCCUCUUAUUGCCCAAAAUAGGUAAUUAACAACAUUAAAAUAAACAAACAAAAAAAGCUACUAAGAUAUAUUAGUUACUCUUAAAAUUGAAUUAACACCGCCUUUCUUCAGGCCUCAUCAGUUCAUGUCAGUUUUCUUGUAUGUGCAAACUGACACCUGUAUUUUUCCAUCAGCAAGAAUAAAAGCAAACAACCAUAGCAACAUAGCAAUCUGAAAAACCCCCAGAAAUAAGCCAGUUUACAUAAAUAGUUACUAAUUUCAGAGAGGAUCAAAAAUAUUGGAGUAAAUUAAAAUGAGAAUUAAUCUUCCCUUAUUAAUUUGAAGACUACACUGAAAAUAAUGAACAUAAACUAAACAGAUUUAAAAUAAGGAACAUUUAAAGGACAAAAAAACACCUAAAUCCUACACAAAGGUACUAGGUUACAGUUGGAUAUUAAGGAUGUGAACGCCAGGUUUGGAUUAUAGUACAGCAGAUUGUAGUUUAUUUUUCUGAGAUGAUUUUGACAUUUUCUUCAGUUCUUCUUCACGUGGUGCCACCUCCACUCUCCUCCUGUGGGUUGAUGCUGUAGUGCUUGGCGUUGGAUGGCAUCACCUGUUCACAUAGCCAGUUAAAAACUCCGCCCGGUCUUCCCCGGGCCUCCUGAAAUACUCUGCUGGAAUGGGAAACAGCGACAUUCAAACCAAUAGUUAAAACCAAAAGCUCCCCCUUGUCUGUAACACUGAUACAGUAUGUCAUGUCUGAUAGCCUUUCCCUCAACAGCCAAUAUUUUCUUCUGUGCCAUCAUAUCUAUUCGUUUUACAUUUUCACUUGAUUCUGAAACAUUUGAUUGAUGGUAGAACCAAUUUUAGAGGUUCGAAUUGGUUGAGGAAGCAGAUGGUCCAAACUGGAUCAUCUCAAACCCAGCCUCUGCAGGGGAGAGAGCAGAACGAGUGCUACAUCCCAUGGGAACAUUUUCACUGGCAGAAAGAUGGAUGGCACUAGCCUGGAAUACAAACUAAAUUAUUCUGUUUCACUAUUGCUUCACUUCAAGAAAGGAUUCCAGGCUAGGAUGGUCACGGCAGUGAGACCAGCCCAGACACAACAUAGAGUACAAUAGUAUCCCUGCUACCACAUGACACAGAGUUUUAUGGAAGAGGGGCAGCAGGCAUGGACAGGACAUCUUUCCC